rnacentral:lncRNA from 1 species
UUUGGUUUUCCAUUAAUUUCUUUCACAUUACUUCUCAUGUUCCUCUUCUCGCUCAAAUUGCAGGUAUGUUUCACUUUCAAUCAAUUUUUCCUAUAUCUUUUUUCUUUUUUUCCUUUUGUUCUUUCUUCACUCUGGGGUUUUCUAGAUCUGCUAUUUGGUUUUGGAUUUUGUUGUACUUAUGAAUUGUGUUGAGUUUCUCUGCACUCUGUUCUUGGUUUACCCAUUUCUUCGUGAUGAUACGUUGGCAGAUAUGUGUUGGUUUCCUUCAAAUAAGAAUUUGAUAAAGAACAAACAGUCUAUGUAUUAAUCUUUUUGUUUCUAUUAAUUUGCGCCUUUCUCCCAUUUUUUCAGUUGCGCCUCCCUAUUUAUGAUGCUUUUGUUGUUUUGUUUAUUUCAUCAUAAAUAGUUUUCUUCUCAUUCUUUCGCUCAAGUGCUUUGUUAUUUUAGUUUUUUUUUUGAGUUUUCAUGUGGUACUUAAUUCUUGGAUUGUAGUUGCAGUUAUCUGAUAGUGUUGGUGAUUUAUUAUCUUCCAGUUUCCUACUUCUCCUUUUUGACUAUCCGAACGAAGCAAAGGUUCAGAGUGAUUCGUGUAGGGUGUAAGCAGGGUUGGAGUUUCCAGACCGCUGAUUGGCGAUUUUGAGGUACCACCCUUUUAAUUAUAGUAAUGGAUGGAAGUUUACACGGGCUAAUACUGAGAUGUGGUUUGACUGUGGUUUGGAGUUUCCUUUUGUAGUCUUAAAUUUUAGUUCUUCCUCUUCUAUUUUCUUCAAUAUCGCUCCCAAUAUAAAUUCAUUGGUUCCAAGCCACCGUUAAAUGAGUAAACUUUUGAAUUACUGUAAUCAUUGGUAGAUGAAAAAACUGAGCCGUGUAAUAUGAUAAAAGAUUGCUUACUUAUAGAUAACUGAGUGUAGUUAACUUAGAUAUGUUUGGUGUCAAUUAUCUAGAAAUACCAGCGUUACUUAAAUUCCUUCUUCAUCUCAAAACAGAAUCAAAUGCACAAUAUUGUAUGAGAAAAGUAGUUAAAUAAUUGAUUAGAAAAGAUAUUCAUAUGCUAUUUUUGUAAGAACAUAUAUUUAUACUUCACGACGUGUAACUUCAACGUGAAAUCCUAGGAACUCAACUUAGGAAACAUUUUUUGCAAGAUGGUAUAGCUUGCAAGAGACAAGAUUACAACGAAGAUAAUAUGCUUAGAUCGGCUGUGAUGAAACAACCUCCAUGUCAUUGGACUGUUCUGCAAAGUUGAAAAUUUAUUUGGCCUACUUGAUAUUUACAAUAACUUGAAAUAUACUUUGAAAACUAUUUGGUCACUUACCUCGAAGACUUCAAAAUCCUACUGUUUGUUCCUUACUCAUCACUUUGGAGCUGUCUUACUGCUACCUUCAGUAUCUGCUAGCUUUCUUCACUUCUUUGCCAUGAUCACUUCUAUUACACUUUUUGACCUUUGUUAAUUUAAGUAGUCUCUUCAAUAAAUGAGCUCUCUUUGUUAAACAGACACAAUUGUAACUUCAUGUGCAAAGAAGUGAAGAAAGCUAUUAAAGAUAUGCAAUUUAAAGAUGAAAUCUGCAAUAAAGUUUUAAGCGUACCGUUUCAUUUUGAAUUUUUAGCUGUCUCAUCUAUGACGUCUAAUAUUUUAUCUUAUUAUAAAAUCUACAAGAAGUAUAUUACAAAGGCAAGUCUGUACUUUGUCUACUUUUAUAUGAACAUGACAAGAGGGGUUGCUCUGAUGGUAAGCAACCUCCACUUCCAACCAAGAGGUUGUGAGUUCGAGUCUCCCAAGAGCAAGGUGGGAAGUUCUUGGAGGAAAGGAUGCUGGGUCUAUUUGGAAACAGCAUCUCUACCCCAGGGUACCCAAGGGUAGGGGUAAGGUCUGCAUACACACUACCCUUUUCAGACCCCAUUAAAUGAGAUUAUAAUAGGUUGUUAUUGAUAAAUGGUCAUUACUUUGUAUUUGUGCAGGUGUUUUUUCAAGGACGGAUAAGAAGAAAAAACACUACGCUUGGGAGAUGCAUCACUUUUUGUGUGUAUAUAAUAUAUAUGAGUGGAUAUUUUUUCAAAACUGUAUGUCAAUUAGCAUGAUGAUGUUGGGCCCGUGAGCGAGCCAUCAGUUCCUAGUAAAACUUAAAAUUGAAAGAAAUUGAUGAUAAUAUAAAACUUAAAAUCGACAAAUAUUUAUGUACACUGAACUUUCUAUAUUUAAAGAAAAAUUCACUUUAUUUAACACAUUAUUCAACUUGCUUUCUAGCA